GACCGAGGGGGCGAGCGUUGUACGGAGUCACUGGGCGUAAAGCGCGCGCAAGCGGCAACCUUAGUGUCGUGUGAAAGCCCCCGGCUCAACCGGGGGAGGCCAUGGCAAACUGGUUCGCUCGAGCUGCGGAGAGGCUACUCGAAUUGCUGGUGUAGAGGUGAAAUGCGUAGAGAUCGGCAGGAAGACCAAGUGGGAAGCCAGGGGGCUGGCCGCAGGCUGACGCUGAGGCGCGACAGCGUGGGGAGCAAACCGG
rnacentral:rRNA from 1 species